rnacentral:rRNA from 1 species
UUCAAGAGUACGUGAAACCGUCCAGGGGUAAACCUGCGAAACUCGAAUGAACGAACGGAGAGAUUCAUCGUCAUUCUGCGGCGCUAGCGUGUCGGUCGGAUGUGCGGGGUUUCGAUCUCGUGCACCUCCGUGCGCGCUACGCGUCCGUGGACGGCGUGCACUUCUCUCUCAGUAAUACAUCGCGACCCGUUCGAUGUCGGUCUAAGUGCCGCUCGGGAGCCACUGCGCCUUCGCGGCGUGGUGACCGCGGCGUGCACCGACCGGCCGUCGGACGGUAUAUUAUACGAAACGCUCACGCGCUCGCGCGCGUCCGGCCCGACGCAAGGUAACGUCGCAUCCUGCUUCCUGCCCGAGUGCGGACGCGGGUACGGCGCCCCUGUCGUCGCUGCCGUGCUGUCUCGGACUGUGUGCGUAUCUGUCUGCGAUGAUUCAGUUUCGGGCACUCGCAGGACCCGUCU